rnacentral:rRNA from 1 species
UACGUAGGGUGCGAGCGUUGUCCGGAAUUACUGGGCGUAAAGAGCUCGUAGGUGGUUUGUCGCGUUGUUCGUGAAAACCGGGGGCUUAACCCUCGGCGUGCGGGCGAUACGGGCAGACUUGGAGUACUGCAGGGGGAGACUGGAAUUCCUGGUGUAGCGGUGGAAUGCGCAGAUAUCAGGAGGAACACCGGUGGCGAAGGCGGGUCUCUGGGCAGUAACUGACGCUGAGGAGCGAAAGCGUGGGGAGCGAACGG